rnacentral:tRNA from 1 species
AUUUGAGUAGCUAAAAUUUAGAGCGUAAUAUUGAAGAUAUUGAAGUAGUGAUAACUCUCAAAUA